CCUACGGGAGGCAGCAGUGGGGAAUAUUGGGCAAUGGGCGCAAGCCUGACCCAGCAACGUCGCGUGAAGGAAGAAGGCUUUCGGGUUGUAAACUUCUUUUCUCAGGGACGAAGCAAGUGACGGUACCUGAAGAAUAAGCCACGGCUAACGACGUGCCAGCAGCCGCGGUAAUCCGUAGGUGGCAAGCGUUAUCCGGAUUUACUGGGUGUAAAGGGCGUUUUGGCGGUACUGCAAGUCAGAUGUGAAAACCACGGGCUAAACCUGUUGCCUGCAUUUGAAACUGUAGUUCUUGAGUACUGGAGAGGCAGACGGAAUUCCUAGUGUAGCGGUGAAAUGCGUAGAUAUUAGGAGGAACACCAGUGGCGAAGGCGGUCUGCUGGACAGCAACUGACGCUGAGGCGCGAAAGCGUGGGGAGCAAACAGGAUUAGAUACCCCUGUAGUC
rnacentral:rRNA from 1 species